UUCCCCUCAUAGAAACUCUUACCUUUAACAGAGAACUGACUAUGUACUGCUCUUUAUGCUUUCUCAAAUCUGCAACUGAUGGCACCAUAGUUCUUCAUCAGGAAAAUUGUGCGUCUUCAAGUAGAACCAAUAGUAGCAACGACCUUCUUUGACGAGUACCAGGUCAGAUCUACUUCUCUGACCCGUGGCUGAUCGACUCUUCAGCUUCCACUCGAGUUUUCCAGGGUGAGCAUGGCGUCCGCUGACCUUGAAGACUCUCUUAUUACUUAUGUCUUGCUUUCCAUUCUGAGACAUGAUUUGAGACUACUUAUGUAUUAUUAUUCAGACUUAUAGUAUUUGGAUUUAGAUGCUCUUGUAUGACCGUACCGUAUCAUUUUGGAGUGGAUUUCAUUUACUUCCGCACUUGUUGAUAUUAUAUUAUAUUAUAUUAUAUUAUAUUA